rnacentral:rRNA from 1 species
UACGUAGGGGGCGAGCGUUGUCCGGAUUUAUUGGGCGUAAAGAGCUCGUAGGCGGUUUGGUAAGUCGGGUGUGAAAUCUCCACGCUCAACGUGGAGGGGCCACUCGAUACUGCCAUGACUCGAGUCCGGUAGAGGAGUGUGGAAUUCCCGGUGUAGCGGUGAAAUGCGUAGAUAUUGGGAGGAACACCAGUGGCGAAGGCGGCUCACUGGACCGGUUCUGACGCUGAGGCGCGAAAGCGUGGGGAGCAAACGGG